UAUUCAAAACCUAUUUCCAUGUUAUUCAUAUUCGCAAUAGAGUGAUCAUUUAAAGCCAAAACCCCAAUCAUAUCCCCAUCGAACCAUGAGAUCGUUUUUUUCUUCUGUUUCUGCUCCCACAGUUCUUUCUCUGGAUGUGGAUAGCGUUCUUUCUCAUAAGUAGGGAUUACAAAUUUUAAAAGCAAUAUAUGAACUGUCCUCAAGGAGCUUAUAUCCUCAUUAGAGGAGAUAAUAUUGAUAGAAAAAUGAUGGCCAGGGAAGAGUGUUUUAUUUGAAAAGCCACUGGAAAGGAUAAUGAAUAGAGCCAUAGGAAAGUAGAAUGACAUACUCUUUCUAGUUGCAAUAGAAGCAUUGAUUUGAUGAUGGUUCCAGAAAUGGAAGACGGCUUAGUUUGUUUGUUUGUUUGUUUUAAAACCAUUAUUUUCAGUCUUAGAGUUAAUACUAUGCAUUGGUUCCAGGCCAGAAGAAUGGUGAGAGCUAGGCAAUAGGGGUUAAGUGACUUGCCCAGAGUCAUACAGCUAGGAAGUAUUUGAGGCCAGAUUUGAAUCCAGGACCUCCCAUAUCUAGACCUGACUCUCCAUCUACUGAGCCACCCAGCUACCCCCAAUGGCUUAGUUUUAAUUGAAGGCAAGGCUAGGUCAUGCUAGAUAUAGUAAGCAAUUCACCAAUCAGAAAGGAAGGGGGCAGAGUCGCAGCAACUUCCUAACUCUCCAUCCCCACACUAGUUAGGUUAGUUUUUCCUUGAAAGCUGUCGAAAUCCAGGAGGCAGCUAGGCAGCUCAGUGGUUAGAGAGCCAGGACUGAAGACAGGAAGAACUGAGUUAAAAUUUCGACUCAGUCACUUCCUAGCUGUACGAUCCUGGAUGAGCCACUUCACCCCGCUUCCCUAGUCUUUGCCCUUCUGGUUUAGAGCUGCUACUAUGAUAAAAAAUGAAGGUUUUAAAAGAAUUAAAGUAUUGAAACUUCAAGACUUAAUUGGCUCAACUGUCAAAAUGGGAAUUCCAGGCAUACUCUGAUGGUUGCCUCAGAGGAGAUUUGCUCAGCUCAAUCCACACUCCUGUCCUUUCUGGCUGAGUAAAUCUUUUGUUAAUUAUUGAAUAAAUGCCCUUCCAGUGUCUCAUUUCAUUCCACUGCCCAACAUAAAUGACCCGAGCCAGGUCCUACCCACAACAGACCACAGGGCAGGAGUUGCAGAGGUGAAAGAAUUCAAUACCCCAGGGCAUCAUACGAAGACAGAAGCACCAUGGCAGGUUCUAUGAGAGCUAAUAGGAAAGGAAGAUGGAUUGGACUUGUGAUUGCUUUGGUGUAGACAACUCCAAGCUCUGGAAGGCCCAGCAAGACAGACUAAUGUCUAUCUGUCUUCUGGAGAGAUGCUGCAGACCUAAGCUGGAGGAUAAUGGGAUUUUAGAGCAGGGAGGAAUAGAGGAAUCACUUAAUCUGACUAUCCAGGAUCACGGUUUUAAGAAAGGAAACCAUGUCCCAGCGCAGAGUAAACAGCCGAGACAUUCUAGGAUGUUGAUUUGCAACCGUGGAACAAUGUGAAAAUAAUACUGCCAGACUUGCAAAAAAAGCAGAAGUCAACUCCAGAAGGAAGAACUCUACAACUUGGUGCCCCUGAAAGUACUGGUUCUCUCGAGGCUGGGCUGGGACAGGCUUUCAAGUCUUCAAGAUCAGUAUUGACCAUCAUGGGUCAUGUUGGAAUCAUUUUAGCUCUUCAUCUCUGAAUCUAGGACCUGGGAAUCUGACAAAUAGCUAACUUUUAUGAAGUGUCUACGGUGUAUUAGGUAGAAAGCUAAGUAAUAACAAUGAACAAGUAUAAUUCAGCUACCAGAUUUUCCAUGUCUAGCCACAUACUUUUCUCAAGCAUCUUAAGGUUUCCAAGGUGUUUUCCCCACAAUUUUGUGGCAUAAGUGGGCCAAGUAUUAUUAUUCCCAUUUUUACAGAUGAGAUAACUGAGGCCCAGUGAGAUGAAUCUCUUUAGAAUUACCUACAAUCUUCAGACUUGGAAGAAACUUUAUAGCUCUUUGAGUCCAACACUUGGAUUUUACAGAUGGGAAAACUAUGAAUGAACAUAUAUGACAUAAAGAUGGUAAGGUGAUCUGAAUGAAUAAUAAUUAUCAAUUAAUAUGGGAAGACACAUGUCCAAGAGCACUUGACAAGUUAGUGUCUGAGCCAGGGGUAUAACCCACAUGUUCUGCCUCCCAAUCUGGUGCUUUCUCCAGGGCUUCAUAUUAUCUCUACAAUUUUGCCAAAUUGGUGGCUCUGAACUAAUAUAUUUUGAUAGAUAAUUUGCCUGCCCCAUGUUUUUAAUUUCCUAAAGCAACAAGUAACAUGGCUGAGGUCAUUAUUGCUACUAGAUAUCCCUUGUAUUUAUUUUAUCUAAGGUUCCAACUUUUGUUGGGAGAGGAAUUUGCUCCUCAGGAGCUCCAUACACCAAUGAAAUCACAGGUCUAGUCCUAAUCCUGAUCCUGGUGUUGUCUAUAGGAGAACGUGUUUCUCCCAGUAUAGUGCAAGCUCCUGGAGGAUAUGAAUUGUUCCAUUUUUGUCUCUAUAUCCCCAGCACUUUGCCUAGUGCCUGUCACACCAGAGGCACUUAAUGAAUGACUGCUGAUUGAUUCUCCAGUUCUGAUCCUGCUCUCACCUCUAUGGGAACUUCUUCCACAGAUUUGACCCAGAGAGAAGUGCCAAAAGAACACCAACCCCAGACAUGGUUUAGGGAGCUAAAGUCCUGGCCAAGCCAAAAUCUGCCUACUCUUUGCCAAAAAUCACACAGGACACAGAACAUUCAGCGGAAGUUGGGGAAGUCUUUGAAGGCCAGCCUGUCUCCUCAUUGAAGCAAAAAACCAGAAUCCUCACUGUCCCAUCACCCCUCUCUUCCCAUAUCUCUCUCCUUUGAAUUUCCCCACGUUUCUGACCCUUCUCUGCCACCAGAGCUGUCUCCUCUUUCUAGCUCCAAAUGACACACACCCACUCACAGCUCUGGGGACAGGCACCAGACUGGAAAGAUGAUGGACUACAUAAUCGGGGCAAAGUGCUGAUUUUUCUUCAUUGGAAAUGGCAGACCCCAGCAGAGGGCCAGGGAUAGGUAGCAUCCUGCCCACAGAAGAGCACCAUACACACACAUACACACACACAGCAUCCAGGUUCAUUUGCAGGGCAUUGAAUGCUCUGAGAAGAUGAAGGAAGCUCCUGUUGUAAGGAGAGAAGGCAUUAACUGUGCAGCUACAACCCAGACGAAUAUAGCAGAAGGUAGAAGGGAGGUGUUGGUGUUUCAGCCCUACCCACAAGCUCUCUUCAUCAGAGAAUCCCAGCAGCCCUUGGCAAAUUGCCAAGGUCAGCCGCAUUUGUCCUUGGCAUUGUCCUGCCUCCCCCCUGAAUGCCCUUACUCAUGAUGUCUCCCUGAGUCCCUCACCCUUUAGUACGUCAUAUUUUGAUAACCCUUCAGUCUCACAAUGAUUCUGGGAGUAGGCAGUACAUGAUUUCUACAAGUAAAGCAAGCUCUUCCUGAAGUAAUUUGCCUAAUUUAGAAUGGUGAAAGCCAGGACUCCAUAUACCAUUCUUUACUGCCACCACCCCAGUGGAACAUAAGCUCCUCUAGGUCAGGGAUUGUUUCAGUCUUGUCCUUGAUGAAUGAAUGAAAAGAAGGUCUUGUGAUACCAAGACCAGUGCCCCUUCACGAUGCCCAUCUAUCUAACUUGUUCUUGGCUAAAUGUCAAUGUACUCCCCCAAAGUGUUAAUGACUGGCGAUGGAUUCAUAACUCUCCAUUGCCAUCAAAUAGAUGAAUGUUAAAAGGAGAUUCACUGGAUUAAAUCUGGCUUCAAAUAUUUUCUAGCUGUGUGCCUGUGGGCAAGUCAUUUACCCUCAAUUGCCUAGCCCUUACUAGCCCAUAUUUAAAUGAAUUUUAAGACAGAAGGUAAGAGUUUUUAAAAGAGGGGGAGUGGUCAAGAACAUCCCAAAUCCUUCAAGAUCAUAAAACCUAAUGACCCUAUUAAACCUUCAAAACCCUGAAAUCUAGCAAGCCUAAUGGUGGAAUAGCAGACAAAUAGUGGAGAAAACAUGGGGACAAUCCACAUUCACUCAACUUACAAUAGCUAAAUACUUAUGACUGCUUUUAGAAACUGUCAUAUCAUCAGUCAAAAGGAUCCUAGACCUAAAGCUAGAAUGGAGCAUAGAGGCUUUCUGGUGCAUUCUUUCCAUUUUGCAGAUGAUGAAACUGAGACCCAGGAAGUUUAAACAAUUUAAGUGUCCAAGAUGGCCAUACAGUUAGUGUCAGAUACAGGAUCACAGGGUAACUGUGGGGAGCAACUAGGUGACACAAUGGAUAAAGUGCUGAGCCUGGAAUCAGGAAGAUGAGUUCAAAUCUGGUUUCAUACAUGUGUAUGUGAUCCUGGGAAAGCCUCUUAACCCUGUAUGCCUCAGUUUACUCAUCUGGAAAAUGACUGGAGAAGGAAAUGGCAAACCACUCUAGAAUCUUUGCCAAGAAAACCCCAAAUGGGAUCAUGAAGACAUGAUCAGUCAGACAUGACUGAAGUGACUAAACAACAAAAAAACCUUAAAAUAUUACAGAAAUGUAAGUUACUGUACAAAAAUAUUCAUAGCUGCACUCUUUGUGGUGAUAAAAAAAUUGGAAAAUGAAGGGCUGUCCCUCGAUUGGGGAAUGGCUGAAUAAAUUGUGGUAUCUGUUGGUGAUGGAAUACUAUUGUGCUAAAAGGAAUAAUGAACUGGAGGAAUUCCAUGUGAACUGGAACAACCUCCAAGAACUGAUGCAGAGUGAAAUGAGCAGAACCAGAGGAACACUGUACACAGAAAAUGAAACAUUGUGGAACAAUCCAAUGUAAUGGACUUUGCUAUUGGUAGCAAUAAUGAGCCAGGACACUCCUGAAGGACUUAUGUAAAAGAAUGCUCUCCACAUUGAGAGAAAGAACUAUGGGAAUAGAAAUGCAAAAGAAAAACAUAUGACAUCACUUAUUACAUGUAUAUGUGGGUAUGUGAUUUGGAGUUUAGACUUUUAAAAAUAGCUCUAUAGCAAAAAUGAAUGAUAUGGAAAUAGGUAUCAAGUGACAACAUUUGUACAAUCCAGUGGAAUUGCUUGUUGGCUCUGGGAGGAAGAGGGGAAGAGGGGAGGGAAAGAAGAUAAAUCAUGUACACAUGGAAAAUAUUUAAAAAUUAAAAAUUGUAAAAUAACUGUAAGUUAUUAUUCCUUUCACAGCAAUUGAGAAUUGGAAUGUCCUUAGUCUCUAGGUCCUAGGUGACUGUGAUCAAUGGGUCUAGUAAGAUAAAAGUUU